CAGUUUAACCUCUCGUGAUAUGGCUCAUGUUAGCCUCUUCAGGGUUUCAAAAGACUGAUGUUGUCUGCAGUGCAGUGGUUCACUCUACAAAAUGGUUCCAUCCAAGGCAGGUGUGACCGAACGCCAUGUGGGUGAACUGUUCAAAAUUCCAGUGUAUCAAUGUGAGUUGCUGUUCAAGGGGGAGAGGAGAGCCCAGACGGGGACCCAGCUCAGCCCCUCAGGGCCGAGCAAAGAGGGUUCUAGGGCCAGUUUGUCCGAGAGAGAAACUGGGAAAUGAACCAGGGCUGAAUUGGGAAGGUGGAGUUUUCUUCCACGUUAAAAAUACUGCAUUUUUGCUCCAUCUAAAUUCUUUUGCCCUGCCAGUCGUGCUUACCUACACACACAGUGACCCUAAAGGAAGAGGACGACAGUGGCUCCCAGUGCUAACACGAUCACGUAGCAGUUCCUUAAGAAUGUGGGAUAGGAGGGCAACAUGGUGAUUCUGCCACAACAGGAAUUAGCCAGGAGGAUUCCCUCUUGAAGGGAAAGGACUUUCUCUGAAGCCUUUAGCUUUAGAUUUGAAUGCUGUAUCUCAUCCCGCUUAACUGUCACUUUGUAUAGAUCCUAAACUUAUCCUGAACUCUGCUCUAUUUUAAGCAAGAGAGACAUAAUCAUUUGUUCAAAACUAGCCUAUUUGUUUCUCUGCUUCUUUUCUUUGUAACUCCUUAUGCAUAGAUUUCUAUUCUGGUGUCAUUUAAAUGCCUGCAGAAGAUUCCUAAUUGGUUUCAAGGACAUUGUGGCUUCACAGUACUCUAAUGACACCGUCCAUUAUUGCUUUUCUAUUCCGCACCCAUUCAGAUGAAGUGUUACACUGAUAUUGUUAAACAGCUUGAAUGAAGUUCCUGAUAAAACUUCACCGGUUUUGGCUGAAUAGAACAUUUCUGUAGUAUUGUCCAGUUAAACUUUACUGUUAUCUCAUUUCUCCAGCAUAAAGCCUUUCCUUGUAGUAUUCUUCUUGUCAAUGCCUGGGAAUUUUUGGUGAACCAGUGCUAUGUUACCUUAGCAAAUGUGUUUCUACAUUCCAGUUCAUUUCCGUUUUAUCCAUUGCAGAGUAUCCCUAUUGCUCCCCUUUUUCCUGGUGUAAACAUUGUACUCCUGCUUAGUUAAUUUGCAGUAUUUACAACACUAAAAUUUUAGACCAAAGCCCUGUUUGCUUAGAAUUGAAGACAUCACACUUCCUGAAAAAUUACCCGUACGCUACCCUUUAACUUGAUACAUUUUCUUAUUUGCACUUGCUCAACUAUGCAUUUAGUUUAUCUUUAUAAAGAAAGACGCAAAAUUGAACAAAUUGCUGCACUAAUAACCUUAGCCCAGCGAUGCAUAAUGAUUCCUAUUCAAGCCUUUUCUGCCAUAUUAGACACAGAGAGGACAUCAGUUUUACAGGUCAAUAUUAAAUCUGUGUAAUCCCAGCACUAAGCACAUCGAUUCAUUGUUUAAAAAAAAAAAAAAAAAAAAAAGGAAUAAAUUGUUAUUAACAGCCUUUUCAUAUUGCAUUUUUUUAAUUUUUUGAAUGAGUCAAGCCAUGCUGUAAGGAUAGGAAUAUAUCAUUCAGCAUGUCUGGCUGUAUUUCCCAAUUGCUGUUAAGAACAAAAACUAUUAAUACUAAAACAUGGUGCUCAAUGGAUAAGGUCAAAUUCAUUCUGCAGCUAUAGUGACACUAUAAUUAAUGAGAGAUCUGUAUAUGGCAAGAAAGGAGAAUAUUGACCUAUUAAUACACAUUUGAAAAUCAAAGACCAUUUAUCUCCUGGUAAUUCUAGCACGUGUUCAAUGUUACAUGAUUUUUUCCCUCUAAAUGAAGGACAGAAAAGCCAUUUAAAAACUAAAAGCAGUUGAAUCUAUAAAUGAUAUUUGAAAGUCUGAAACUUGUGCAGCAUUAUGUCAAAGCAGAACAGGAAGAGCACAGAGGGACAAUAUCUGGAGCAGCUGGAAGGCUACAAAGAGCUGGCUUUCAGGUUGGGUAAGUGCUUUAUCAUACGCAGUAAGUGUUAUUGUUCCAUUAUAUGUAUGGGGAAAUUAAGUGUAAAUGCCCAGAGUCAUUCGUGGGGACUCAGAAAAAACCUCCAAGUUCUCUGGUCCACUGUUAUAUUCACUAGAAAGCAGUGCUUUUCUGCCUGCCAUGGGGCCCCUGUACAACAUAGAGAAACUUUUUAAAUCAGUAGGAAGGUGCCUACUUUAUUCUGCCAUCAAAGGCAGAGCACCCGCAAGGGCAGCACAGCAUGAGCGCCACGCCAUGGGUCCAUCUUAAGUGGGUGUCAGGCUGGGAGAGCUACGGGUUCCUGAUGCCACUGCCCGGCAAGGCAGCAUGUAACUUCGCAGUGCCAUGUGGGAGGAGCCCGAGGAAAGUAACAAAGCAAAGAGUGGUGCCCAAACCUGCUUCUGAGCCUAUUCAAAUGUCGGAAUACUCACAGUUUUUGUUGCUGUGGUUCUCCCAUAGGGAAAAUAUUACAUUUUUGCUGUGCUGAGGUUCCUCUGCCACGCUUGCCAUGGUUGUAUUUCUGCAUCUCUGUCUUGGAGGUAAAAAUAUUAACAACUCUUACAAUUUGUUUACUGUUUUGCAUGACACACAUGUUUGGCUUUUACAUUUUUUCCUGGUUGACUAUAUGUUUUGACAUGCAGUUAACCCAAAAGUCUACGUGAGAUCGUCUCAUUCACUACAAACGGUCAGGAAACCCUUUUCUAUAAAAUUUAUGAUCUUUCUUCACUAAGGUAUAAUAUUUUUCAACAUUCCUCCAAAAAGUUAAUAGACUCAUAUCCAUGAUAUGGUUAUACCAAACAAAAUAGAGCAGGGUCUUCUGUGUCUCCUUCAGCGUUUUCAUCUUAUGUUUGCUGUUAGUGUUCCCUGUGGUAAGUUCAAUAAAACUAACAAAACCUCCAUCUGUUUUUUUUAAGGAUUGUUCCGUACAAUAUCUAACUCAAACAUCUAACUCAAAAAUCUUUCAUGUUGCACCAGCAAGAACAGACAACUAAAAUCCUUGUAAAUGUCUUCUGCUAGAGCCAUAUUGCCACUGUUAGAGGAAGAAUGGUUGUCAUUUUCUAACAGUGUUUCUUUAUUUAAAAGAUUUAAGAAAGAGACGGUUUUUAUUGGAAAGAUAUCAGUCUUAAAGGUCUUUAAAUUCAGUAUUUUCAAGAAGUCUUCAAUCACCUGUAUGGGAUCCAGUCAAUAACAAAUAGGGCAUUUUUGUAUAUCUUAAUCCAUGCUGUGACUGUAUGCAGCUAAGGUAUUUUUGCAUUCCAUCAUCACAAUAUAAGCAGAAACAGCGGCAAUGUGUUUUGCUCUAGCUCAGAUGAAAUAAAAGGGAAAAUUAAUUGUUCUAGUUAAUUCCCCCAUCACUUUGGGUAAGUAAUGGAAAAUUAUAUCACUGCUUUCUCUGUGCUUAAUUUCAUACUGAAACUGCUUUGUCACAUUAAAUAUUUGGUAUUUUUAAUUUAAUAUAUGACCUCAGAAGAAUUGAGGUGUGCAGCAAACGUCACUGGGAAAUAAAGAAUCAGCUGACUAGGGAUCCGUUAGUCAUGACCACGUUCCAGUGAAGAACUGGCUCGUGGCCCACAGCAAACUGCUCUUGCUGUUAGACUGUUAGGUCUCAGGCAAAACAAGCAACGCUGUGGGCAGCAGGUGCCCAAGGGAUCCCAGGGAACCCACCAGCGGUCUGGUGCUGUGGGGGAGUCCGUGAGGUCAGUGUACGGGCCUCCUUUCUGUAGGUCUUUUGGGAAAACUUCAAAAUCAAUUAAAUUUCCUCUAAAAUUUACCCUGGAACAUGGACGUGGUAUGGCACUCUUUCACAAGUAUUGUACAUUGUAAAGUCAGCGUGGGCUUUAUAAUGGUAGUUGCUUCCCGUGACAAAUAUGUAGAUAAUUCACGUAGAGUUUUCAAGUCCUCGAUAUCUUUUUUCUCAUGAAAGGCAUUAAACUGUGUAAAUGCAAGUUGUUAUCUGUUUAUCGGUUGGGGUUUUUUUUAUAAUUCGCAUCCAGUUUCUCUACCCUUUAACAGAACCACCAGAACAGUAAGGCGAGAGAGGGAACGAAAGAAAAUAACUUUUUGUCUGGUUUGUAUUCAUUUUUUUUCUGUUUCUCAUUGGUUUCCUGCAAUUUGUGUAAUUUAGCCAGCAUAGUGUACUCUGCAGGUUGAUCAGUACUGAAAAAUAGGGAAGUCACAUGUAUCUAUUAAGUGUGCUUUGUUGUUCGUGAAAAACCUGUAAUCUGUUACAGCUCUGUCUGAAAUGAACCAAGAUGCAUAACAUCCUGCAUGCAGUCUGCCUUGCUUCUUCUUAAAGCAGGUAUAAACUUGAAGUUAAAUUGCCAUAGUUUGGGCCAUGUUUAAUUUUGCAUUUUUAACCUUGACCAGCCUGCAAUUUGCCGCCAGAUGCAAAGAAAAUAUGAAUUCCCAUUAAACAAAAUCCAGUGCCAUUUUCAGGUCCUGUUCAGUCAAUGUAGUGAUAAUGAAACAUGUUUGUCAUGGAUCUGUAAAAAUUAUCACUCGUUGGUUUCCAUCUUUCCCCUCAGACUGUGACUCCAGUGGCCUUGGAACAAAUUAAUUUUGUUCCCAUACAUUAAAUUUAUUUUAACAGUUUUACUUUAUAAUACUGACAUUUCUGUUGUAGGCAAAAUACUUGUGUGACAUUUUAAAGCCACACAUUUUCCAAGUUGAGAAAUGAGGUAUAAGAUCUGUGAAAGUAUUCCAGAUCUUUAAAUACUUGUCUUCUUUCCUGGGAGGAAGCAAAGUUUAAAGCUUUCAAACGUGGCUCCCAUCUGGAUUUCUCCUCCAGAAAGCUGGCUGAAUUAAAUACUAAGUAGUCUUUGCCCAGUACAUCGGGAAAAAAAUGAAGAGUUCUGUGUGUAAAGCUGUUAGAGAGAGCUAGCAUGGCAUGGCUGGUCAGCUGAUGCCAGGAUGGCACAUGCAAAGGCCUUUCUCCAGGCCUAAUUUGUGUUAAGGUUGAGAAUGUAAAGUCUGAGAAAUAAAUGGAAAUCAAGAAUGUAAAUUAUUUCUCUGGCUGUGAAUGUCCCUGGCUAAACAAACAGAAGCGCUGAUUUUUCUGAAGCUGUCAGAUACCUCAGAUUUUAAAUACGAUUUAGCAGCAUGCAUGCAUAAUCUCAUGUCAUACGAGGGAAUGUGGGUAAACCAGCAUCAGCUGUGUGAGAAACUUAAGUCCAGUAAUUAGCUGUCUUUCCAUUUAGCAACAAAUAGCUAUGCAGUAAUAUUAGAAGAACAUUACUGAAACUAAUUUUCAGUAAUGUGACUCCUUGAUAUUAGAAACGCGUGAAUCCCAUUAAAUAAAGUUAAUUGAAUUUUAAAAGGCCACUUACAGCUCACACAUCAGGUAGUAUUCUGUACCACAUCAUCAGAAAUAUUUCUUUGUGAGAGAAAAGCAGAACAAAACCAGAGUAACAAAAUGAAAACUCCUCCCCCUCUGCCCCAGACUGAUUACGUUUUCUUCCCAAAUAUCCCGCACGCUCGAUGUGUUGGCACUUCUCAUCGGCAAAGUCUGUUCCUGACCCCGGUUACGUAAUGAAGUAGCAUCUGAUAAGAGGAGAACCAUGUGCGUGAACGCUCAGAAAAGGAUUCCCCUAUCAAACAGUUCUGAAACAAAAAUCUCACCCUCUGUAGGGUGUCAAGGAGAAAUUAGAGAGGGACUAAGCGAAACCUGAUAUAGGAAAGCUGGACAGACUAUGACCUCACCCCGCAGAUAGAUAUGGAGAGAGUAUUCUACGCUAGAACAGUUGAUGUGAUGAUCAAGGGCAGCCACGGAGCUGCCACUCCUCAGAGGGCAAAAAUUUACCGUAUACAUCUGCAGAAUUGGGACUUAACAGAAGAGGAGAUAGGCACCCAUUUGCGAAGUGGAAGCAAACGCUGAAAAGUUCAUCUGAGCUGUUGCAACUCAGCUGGCUAAUAGGAGUUUAGGCUAGGUUGUGGCCAAGUCAAUAUAGGUGAGAAACUGGGGUGAAAAAAGAAGGGAAACAUUCUUUCAUCUUUUGCCCUAGUGAAAGGCCAGCUUGUCACAGUAUCAAUUUCUCAAAUUCUUCCCCCAGUUUAUUUCCCAAGAACCCGCCCACCAGCUGAUGCUGUGGUUCAACUGUCAGUCGUAUCAGCUCCCACAGACUUCAGUAGUUGGAUCAGUAGUCGUCUCAAGCCCACAUAAUCACAACUUAACCCCUAGUAGCUGUUUUUCAAAGGAAAUCCCUUGGGAGCCACAAACCAGUUAAAAAUGCAAUCAUUCUUGUGCUGCAAAGGAGAAAAGAAAAAUUAAUAAUCAAAGCUGCAUAAUGAGCAGAAUGGCAGCUUACUUAUGGAAGGUGCAUUUUCAACUCCAGCAAGUGAGGAAGAAAUUACUUCUGAGAAUACAAAUGAGGAAAAUCAAAUACCUCAAAAUCUUUGGGAGGAAAUUUUGACUUAUCAGAUAAUGAGCUAGCUUUUAGUGAUGAGAAUGAUAAUGAUUCCAUUACUAAUACUGAUAACAAUAACAAUGGCUGUGUGUGAGCUUAGCAACAUCAAAUGGUUUGCAUCUGGUGAGAGAAUAAAUUGUUAAUAUAAAAUAUGAGAGACAUGAGAAGAUACAGAGGUUUUUUUAAAAGCAGUAAAGACACAAAGAAGCCUAACAGUAAUAAUAAAUUACAUGAAAAAAAAAUCCAAGGGUUUUUAUUUUUAUUUAUAGAGACUAGAAUAAAAUUGUCAGGUUGAGGAAACAUUGCUAACUUGAAUUCAAGCCUAUCCUACUACCAUCCUCAAGUUUGAGUGCCAUGAUAAAUUGGCUGAUGGCGAGAAAGCUUGGUUUUGAUAUCCUGAUCACUUGGGGAUGUCUGGAGGAAAAAAAGGAAAAAAAACAAAAACACCCAGAGGCCAAAGUCAAUGUCUUUGGUUUUUCUAGGGCUGAGAACUUUCUGCUAUUUUAAGAUGAUCCAGUGACAGCUACUGAAAGCCAGUUAGACUGAAAUAUGACCUACUUUCCCUCGAUAAUAACAGCCUUCUCAUAGACAUCAAUAGGUAUUGGAAUGAAACCAAAGUUAUCAGGAAGACUGAUAAUGACUGAACUAAUUAGGAUAGUUGGUUAUCAAAUAUACACCUUAAACUGUUUCAUAAAUCACAGCCUGCCAGAUUUAGCCUCAAGGGAAGGUUCUACAGAGUCAGCAUGAGAAGUUAUGUUGAUACAGAGAAUAUUAUCACCUGCUGACAUUUACCUUCCAUCCCUUUAUCUAAAAUCAUGCCUCUAUUAAUUCAUAAUCUAUGAUAAGUAAAAUAUACAUCAGAGGAAUACAUUAUGUAAUAAACCCAGCAUUGUACUUUCCAGCCAAGCUAGUCAAAGCUACAGUUUUAAUGAACUUCAACUUCUCUCUUGAUACUCUGCAGGGAGAGAAUCAAUGGACCGAUUCCAGUGGCCCUUAAUGACAGUACUUCUACUGUCAGUCAGAAUACCCUACCUCGUGCCUCGCCUGUAGUCUCUCACCAGUAACAUUCAGGGAGGAGAUGAAUUUGGUUAAACCUGGACUAAAAAAAUAAAUGUUAGUUUCCUGGAAGCUUCAGCUGAUGCCCUCUGUCACCGUGGCUGCAAGAGUGGCUUGCCAGUUAUGAUGACUACCGUACUGCUUACCAAGGGAAUUUGGUCCUAAGUGAGCAGCUUCAAGGUAAGGUUUCAGGAUUGCCUGGUGAAAUAACACAAGUAUAUGAAAAAAUCUUAAAAACUAAGAAAAAAUAAAAAGAAAGAAAAAAAUCCAAACCAAAAAAACACCAAACCAAAACAACAAACCAGGUAGUUUCCUUUACUCUUUUGCCUUGUUAGUUCGUCCUGGCAGACUGAAAGCAGAUUUAACAGAAGAGACCAAGGCAUGGCAGAAAACUGGUAUUUUCUCUGUACUAUUUUCAGCUGCUCUCAAGGCACGUUUUGUGUCAACCGUACUUAAUAUUAUGCAGCUAUUCUAAAUGCCAGACUAUUAAAAAAAAAACAACCCACAACUCAAAAUUCUCUUUAUUGUAGUUCCAGAAUUUUCUUUCCUGAAGAAAAAUGGUGUGGGUGCAAAUGUGGAAAAAGUAGUCUUACAGUUCAAAGGAUUUAUUCCAGAAAAGUUAGUCGCACUUCUACAAAAUAAUUUCCUUUGCUGGUUUCUGAAGAAAGGAUGGACGGAGGGCUUGCCAUCUUCGCAGGAAAAAAAGGUUGACUGUGAUUUCUGUGCGGAACAUGAAAUGUCAAAUUGACUUUCUUUGUCACCUCAUUUUGUCCAAAGCAAACGUUGUCUCGCUGGAUGCACAGCAGCUCUUUAAGAAAUUCUUCAUCUUGCGUGUGGAGCUCAAGAGUAAACGCUGCGAAUUUAAUUUACUUAAAAAUCACUUUCAUUAUUGGAGACAGAUCAAUGGGAGUGCACAAGGAAGCGUUUUUCACUUUUACAGCAGGGGGAAAACAGUGGGAAAAUCUUAUGGCUAGCCCUGCCCUCUGACUUAAUAAAUCCUGGCUGAGGUUCCAUGGACUCGAUAGGCUAUUCUCUACCCACUGCUCAGCAUAAAUCUAGACUUCUGUUGCUUCUAGAUUAAAGAGGUGCAGGCUGCAGCACACUUCACAGUCCUGGUACCCAGCUUGUUCAGAAUUGGCACCCGCUCAUUUCAACACCUUCCUGGUUCACAUACAGAACUUGUCCCC